CUGUGGCUUUAAAGAGACACAGCUUCUGCUGGAGAAGCUGCCCAACAGCAAAGAGGGAUCAGGAAAAAAAUCCACUAUCUCUCCCCGUUCGUACCCUUUGAUCUCCUGCCAGUGACCCUCAUAGGCCAAAGCCAACUGAAAGCCCAGAAGGCAGAGAAACCAUAGGAUGCGGCCUGCAUUAGUCAGCCUGCCAGAAAACAGGUACUCUCAGAAACCACCUCUGGCCUGAAAAGGGACCGACUGAAACAUAUACCUAUUUGAAGAUCCCUGGCACACAGACACAGCAGAAGAAGCCCAAAUGUGUUAUCAAACCAUUGAGAGAAACAGAACUUUCCUGAAAGCCAAGAAACAUCUUUCAAAAGGAAGUUUCCCAAAAACUCUUCUAAAAGUACCAGCAUAUCUUCAAACCAAAUGAGGAAAUUGCAGGCCACAGAUACAAGUAAUCCAGCUUAACCACUGGAUUGUGCUCUCUCUUUCCUUCUGUAAUCUACUUUGAACAAGUAAUACAAACAUGAAUAAUCCAUUUGCUAUUG